UGCUGGCAAAAAGUGUGAUAAUAAUCUAAUUUUCUUGCUCUUCAUGCUAUGUACUUUUUUUUCUAGACGGUCAAUGUAUUUUUCUUUUUCUGUAAAGUCCUUCAAUUUUAUUAGAGUGUAUCUUAGAGUUGGUCAUUGAUUCGGUUUGGCUGUGUCCCCACUCAAAUCUCAUUUUGAGUUGUAGCUCCCAUAAUCCCACAUGUUGUGGGAGGGACCUGGUGGGGCAUUGAAGCGUGGGGGCAGUUUCCCACAUACUGUUCUUGUAGUAGUGAGUAAGUCUCAAGAGAUCUGAUGGUUUUAUGAGGGGAAACCCCUUUCACUUGGCUCUCUUUCUUUUCUCUUGUUUACCGUCACAUCAGAUGUGCCUUUCACCUUCUGCCAUGAUUGUGAGACUGCCUCAUCCACAUGGAACUAUACAGGGAGCUAAGGAAGGAAGGAUUCCAGGUGAGGAGGACUGAAGGAACUGAAGGCUACCAGAGAAAACCAGAAAAUCAACCUGCUACACCAUAACCUCGUAUCUCACUGGACUCUAAGGCAACUGAGUUGGAUCGAAAUAAACCUUUAUUUCCCUUAUAUUUAUUUAUAUUUAUUUAUUUCCCCUUUAUUUGCCAUCACUGCCACCCAUCUUCUCAAAACACACACACACACACACACACACACACACACACACACACGUGUACAUUCAUUGAAGACCAAGGCCCUGACUCAUAUCCUUUUUCUCCAUCUCUAAAUCUGCCAUUACUUCCCUUAGAUC
rnacentral:lncRNA from 1 species